rnacentral:rRNA from 1 species
GAUGAAACGCUGGCGGCGUGCCUAAUACAUGCAAGUUGUGCGGUAACAGAGAGAGCUUGCUCUCUGCUGACGAGCGGCGGACGGGCAGAGUAACGCGUAGGAACAUACCCCAAACUGAGGGAUAACUGCUCGAAAGAGUAGCUAAUACCGCAUGUGGUCUUCGGAUUAAAGCUUCGGCGGUUUGGGAGUGGCCUGCGUCCGAUUAGCUAGUUGGUGAGGUAAUUGCUCACCAAGGCGACGAUCGGUAGCUGGUCUGAGAGGAUGAUCAGCCUGACUGGAACUGAGAACGGUCCAGACUCCUACGGGAGGCAGCAGUAGGGAAUUUUUCCACAAUGGGCGAAAGCCUGAUGGAGCAACGCCGCGUGCAGGAUGAAUGCCUUCGGGUUGUAAACUGCUUUUCUGUGUGAAGAAUAUGACGGUAACACAGGAAUAAAGGGUCGGCGUAACUACGUGCCAGCAGCCGCGGUAAU